UCUCAGGCCCGUUCAUCGUCUACAUGUUGAGAGACAUUGAUAUCCUGGAGGACUGGGCAGCUAUACAGAAGGCUAAAGCAGCACUGACACCACUAAAGAAGAAAUCAGACAAGCGGUGAUAACAGAGGGGUGUCUCAGAUGUCUAGAUGAACCAAAGUCUCUGAGUUGCAGAAGAGAACUCACAACAACAGAACAGUCUUGAACACAACACAACAGAACAGUCCUGACCACUAUUUAAAAACAAAGCACUUCAGUAGGGUAUUGUUCA